GCUGGACACUGCCCCGUGGGCAGCCCGGGGACUCCACGGGCCCUGUUCGUGCAAGGGCUCACGGCGCUCACGGGCGAGCGCGCAGUCCCGCCCGCCACGCACCUGCGGCCCGGCGCGCCCCCUGGCUGAAGGCGAUGCCCGGUGCUGCGCUGCCCCUGGCCCCGUGCGCUCCGCCUCCUUUGGCAGACACUGAACUGGUUGCCCAGGCAGGUGUGGCUGAGAUGGGGUGUGGUGAGUGUCCUGCCCCAUGGCUGGGCAGCUCUCUAGCCCGAAUUCCAUCACUGUGACGUCUGUGCUGAGGAGGAAGCUCUGGAACCCACCUGCAGCCACAAAGGAAGUUGGUUAAAUUGCCCAGGGUAGGUGCACAUGGGGAAGACCUCACAGAUGGAAAAGGAAAGUGGAUAAAUGGACAGAGGAUGCAUCCAGGGCAAGGGCCAGAGGUUGAGUGCAAUAGAGAGCAGGGCUAGUUUGUGCUGGACAGAGAGAGGGAGAGGGAGGAGGGAGGAGAGGGAAGAGAUGGAGGAUGUGUACAAUACACUUUUGUAUACGUAGGUACUUCUAGAAGGACCCACAAGAAGCUGUUAGCUGUUUCCCCUCAGGAAAGACAAGAUAGAAAUCUGAGUUUUCACUGGGGAAUGAAGGCAGACAGCCUAAAUAGACCAGGUUUGAGACCCUGCUUAGUCCCUUCCAAUCAUUUUCCCUCUCUAAGCCUAUUUCCCUCACUUGAGAAGUGGGCAAGUAGGGUAUCAGCCACACCGAGUGAGAUGCUGUGAGUUAAGCAGCUAAUAGGGCCCUGGUGAUGGGAGGGGCCUUAGCAAAGGGGAUGGGACGGUAUCGGGUAUCUGAAGCCAGAGGAUUUUUGAUAAUGUGUCCGCUCAGGGUACCCACUGUACAGGAGUUACAAACAUGGUCAAAACACAGGCUUCUGGGAACUUUGAAGCCCUCUUUCGCACAAUAACUGGGAAAGUGAAGAUGGGUUUGAAAAAAAGAAGCUGGACCCUUCUCAAGGUUAGCAGACCUGUAGCACAAUCAUUGAAUAACAGUGAUGACAUUAAUAGUGGCGAUGCCAUCUCUUGUCAUCAAGGGUAGACUCUGCCAGGCCACAUGGCAGGUCCCCAACAUGGCUCCGCUGGUUGGAUUUGCUCUGCACCCAACAGGUGGAGUAGGUGAAGUGGGCCAGGGCCCUGUCUUGGAGGUAGCUGGCUCUUGGCUUAGUCUCCAGUGCAGGGAGCCCAGCUGUGAAAGGCAUGGUACCCAGCUAGGCUGGUGCAUGAUCAGCCUGUGUGAGCUCUGCUCCCACCCUACCUGCAAGGAGGGGGGCUGCUGGACUUGUGCUGACUCCACUGGUCCUGAUCCAGGACUGGUAGUGAGAAUGAGCAGAUUUGGGGAGAAAUCCAGCUGUGCCCUUCCAUCCUCCCCUGUCCAUACUAUGAAAAUUGGGCUCAGAGCUGAUGUGGUUGUGCAAGUGUGCUUGGGCGUGUGCACACGUGUACACCACACAUCUGGGGGCAGGCCGAAUGGGGUGGGAUCUCUGUUCUUGCAGUGCAUCCUCCCCUGGGCAGAUAGCAUGUGUUCGGAGCUGAGGAGGCCUCUACUGCUCGGUGACUCAUCCGCUCCGUGGCCCUGAAAGUGAGGCCUGCUGUUCCCUCACGAUGCCUGGGAGGGUGUCUGUUGUGGGUUUGCUGCAUGACCUGGUUAACCCCUGGGAGAUGGCACCUGCAGAGCUAUCCCAGCCCCUGGCAUCCUGGUGACUCUCAGCCCCUAAAACCUGUCCCCUUUCUGCAACAAGAUCUAAAGGAUUACACAGCCCUCCUGUUUGCUGUCAUUGUUCCCCAGGAGCUGGAGAGGUACUCACUUGGGGAUAGCUAGCAAACCAGUUUAGAACCAGAAGGGCGGCAUUCCCCCAGCUCAGAGAGGUGAGGGUGUGUGGGAGGGCAGGGGCCUGUUCCUCACUGGGCGGAUCCAGCCUUUUCCUCACCUCCUGUGGAGGCCCAGGUUCAUGCUCUGCAGACAUCUUCUCUUCAGUUCUGUCCUACCCCUAUCUGGGAAGUCUUUAAAAAGUGCAGAUUCCAGGGCCUCUCUGAGAUUAUGGUUGUGUGAGUAGGGUCCAGUGUUUUUGCAUUUUGGAAAAUACUUCUCCCAUAGGAUCUCUGAAUCACCCAGAGAAACACAGCUGUGGACAGAGACAGACAACUGGGUCUGGCUUCCACACAGCUGGGAAAGCCCAAGUCUUUAGCCCAAAGCCAACUAGAUCUGAAUCCUGGCUUUGACAUGUACCCAGCUGUGUGACAUUAGGCAGGUGGCUUCACUUCUCUGGAUCUCGGUUUCCCCAUCUGCAAAAGGGGAAAGAGCCAGUGUAUAGCAGUGUGCAAAGUACUGGCAUUGAGGUCUUUCUCCUCCUGCCCUCCCAGAGAGCAAGGGGGCCUGGCCCAGUUUCACCCUGUGUUUUGUAACAUGUUUACUUUUCUUGCAGGACAAAGCAAAGGAUGGAAAAUCAUGCUGGCUCUCCAGCUUACACGGCUGACUCACUGGGGUUGGGCUGGGGGCCAGUGAGUUCCCCCAGCAGUCCCCUGGGACCAGAGAGGAGGCUUGGCCCUGGCAGAGGACAGGAGAGGGUCUGCGGUGACUCAUGCUCUGCCUGCCCCUGAGUCAUCCCAGGAAAAUGUGCCUUGGGACCUCACCCACCUGGGCCCCUGAAAGCCUAUUCCAGUCUGGCCACCUUGCCCUACCUAUAGGGUAACCCCAACUUGUUGCCUCCCCAGGAAGUCUUGCUCCAGUGACCCCAUGCUGGUCCUUCCUAGAUGCAGUUGUGCUCCUGUGUGGUCAAGUCUGUUCUCAAAAUACUGCAACAGUCCCUGACUUUAUUGAGUAGUAGCUGCUCUAAGCCUCAGCUGCUCUGGUUCUGCCCCCCAGGACCCAACGAUGGGGUUUAACCUUCUUUUGUCUCAGCAGGGUCCUUCUGGGCUCUUCCUCAGCCACAGGCUGGAGUCCACUCUGGCCACACAAGUCACCACCUGGCCUUGCAGACCCAGGCCUCAGGUUUCAGGCAUCUUAUCUCUAACCGGGUUGCUUCCAACAAUCUGCUGCACAUCCCCGGACACCUCAUCUCAGGCGUCGCCCUGGGCCUCUCAGACCAGUCUGCAAAGCCUGCCCAGAGAGGAGGUCACCCACCCUUUCAGGCCAGAUGGAGCUGGGUGGGGCCUGGCAGGCAUGCCAGGCCUGGGAUUUCUGCAGGACAAGCCCAGAUCAGUUCCCCCACUCCAUGCCCAGGCUGCGGGCUCCCCACUGCCUCUCCAGUCCUGCCCAGCUCCCACUGCUCGGACCUGUGGGGCUGCAUUCUAGGACUAGGGCCAGGGUGUGACUGACCCUGAACUGGCCCAGGUCAGCAGGUCAGGACCCCAUUUCCUCAAGAGCCUGGAGGCCUCAGUGAUGGAUUGGAUGGGCCAUGAGACUUGACUUGACCAUGUUCUAGGCUGUGUGAUCUUGGAAGGUUGCCUAACCUCUCUGUGACCUUGGAGACAUGGCCUACCCUCUCUAUAAAAUGGAGUUAGCUAGUGAGCUGAGCUGUUAAACCCCAGCUGCUCCAUUUUCUAGCUGGAUCACCCUGGGCAAAUGUCUUUGCCUCUCUGAACCUCAGCUUCUCUGUCUAUAAAAUGAGGACAUGGACUUCAGCUUCAUAGUGUCUUAAGGACUCAGUGAAGUAAGACAGGAAAUAAUGACAAAUAGUAACAAUUUUGUCGAAUGUUUACUGUGUGCCCAGCCCUGUGCUAUGGGCUUGGCAUUAUCUUUCUAGCUUUGUUGAGAUUGCAUGUGACGAAGAGCCCAUUCUUAACUCAUAUGAUUUGUGAGCUCUGACGUAAUCACACAGCCAUGAAACUAUUACCAUAAUGAAGGGUUACAACUUUCCUGCUUCCUCUUACCAGUUUGCACUGUGGCCACUGGACUUCCAAGACACGAAAUGCCUCUGAAAGCCAUCUGAGAGGACUUGGGGCUCAGAUUCUUGUCCUCACCACUUGCUGCCAGCAGCAGCCAGUGUGGAAGUCAGCUCAAGGUCUUGUUGAAUGAAUGAGAGGGUCAGUGCACCAUGGUUGCCCAGAGGAAGGCCAGGCAACGGCUUCUGGUCCCUGAGCCAGAACUCUGAUGGGAGUGAAGGGCUUUGUUUGUCUAGUCAUUCAUUCAUCCAGUAUUUAUUGAGCAUUUAUUAUGUGACAAGUCCCAUUCUAGUCACUCAGGACUCCAGAUCCAUAGAUUGGUCGUGGGCCUUCAAUGAGCUCGCUGCAGAGGAUGGUGAGAUGGUGCAAGUUUGAGGCCACAUGAAGGUGACUCUUCUUGGUCCUCAAGGUCAAGCACUUCUAGCUAAGUGUGAGGUGUGCCCUCAGGUGGGGGUCUGAGGACACUGAGGGAAGUAGUUAGACCCAAGGCUGAGGGUGAUUGGGAUCAGUUGAGAAAGGGGAGACCCUCCCUUGCAAGGAUCUCGGGGGUCCCUUAUUCUGUUCUACAUCAGUCAUUUCCAUGGCAACCAGGCUCCUCUCACCCAUAGUGCUUCACAGCGCCUCCCUUAGAGGAUACAGUGACAAACAAUCUUAUAUUCACAGUGCCUCAUCUGGGAAGGGGAAUGAGGCAGAAAGGCAGACAGCCACAUUUUAAAAAUGAAAUAGAGCCAGGUAUAGUGUGCAUCUGUAAUUCCAGCACUCUGGGAAGCCGAGGCAGGGUAAUUGCAAGAUUGAGCCCAGCUUGGGCAACUAACUUCAUGACUUCAGAAGACCCUGUCUCAAAAAAAAGUAGAAAGUGGGCUGGAGAUGCAGUUCAGUGUGAAGACCCUGCAUUCAAUUCCUAGUACAGGGAGGAGGAGCAGGAUGAAGAGGAAAAGGGAGAGCAGAAGUAGGAGGAGAUGGGAGAGGAGAAAUAAUAAAUGGCCCAAGUGCCCACUAGUGGGGGAGAGGGAAGGCAUGACCCAGCCUCCACAACUGGGACAAGUGGACAGGCUGGGGAACGUGGGGUCUGUAGGUCUCAAGGGUAGAAAGGCUGAGACGUGGGCAGAGGGCUGCUGUAUUUUUGUUGAUUAUGACUUGAAAUGGAGCUGCCCAUGUUCUCCGUGAGCACGCUCUCCCCGCAAUGUCCUGGCCCUUCUGCUUCUGCCAAGGCCCUAUGCCCAUUUUGACUGCUGAGGUCAAACAUUCCUGUCUGGGACCCACUGACCAAGCCCCCUCCCUGGCAUUGUCUGUUUCUGGCUCAGGCUUAAUCCCCUGCCUGGACGAGGGCCCCAGGGACAUGAGUCAGUCCCAGUCAGCUCUGGACAACGAUCCCUCCUCCUGGCCUUGGGGACCCACACCAGCCAGGCUCGAAUCCGGCCCAUCCUGUUACCUGCAGAGGGUUACCUGUGGGUGUGUUGUGGGGACGGGGGGGGGGGUAUGCUCUGCUGCAGAAGCUGCUGAUGCCUCAAGCUGCCAAGCAGGGGUGUGUGGCUAGUGUCACUGAAGAACGUGGUAUAAACUGUACAGCCUAUAUCAGUAGGGGCGAACAUAUGGCACCCAUGCACAGCAGACACACAGAGCCCUCUGUCAGCACAUGAGCCAAGUUGCCCCAGCAGCCAGUUAAACUGAUUUUUCUAAACUAAAGCCUCAGUGUUAAGGUUCAACAGUGGUGCUGGCACGGGGCGGGGGGGGGGGGAUAAAUAAGUGGGUUUUGGGUUGAAGUUUGAAUCUUGUUUGUUUGAAUCGAGCCGAGGGACUUGGACUGGCACCUGUCUACACUCCCUCACCUCUGUUGUUCCCAGUAGAAUGCUUGGUAUAAUCUGAUCUAUCACAGAAUUGAAUCCAAUCUCCACUUGCUACUUCUUUUCAGAUUUACCUGUUUUUUUUUUUUCCCUCUCCUAGGAGAGAGGGACAUGCUUUGCCACUGAGCUACACCCCAGCCCUUGGUUUGGCCAUUUAGCCCUGCAACGUUCCUGCACCCACCAUACUGCCUGGUCCUUAGUGUAUCUCUGAAUGGAGCUUGGGCACAGGGAGAGAGUGUGGCAGGGGGAGCAGCUGGAGCCCAGAUACUGCCCCUUCCCCUUACCAGCUCAGGAGAAGGAAGGGCUGCACCUUGAGGGCUCCUGGGCUGGCCCAGAAGGGGGCAAAUGGUGAGCACACAGCUCCAAGGACCACAACCCCUUUUCCACAGCGUCUCCCUCAGCAGGAUCCUGUGGGGCGUGGGUGGGCAGGACAUACAGAGCCUCCAUUUCCCAGUGCCGGGGUACAGUGGCAGCUGUGGUGUGUGCCCAGGAUCCUUUGAGACCAGGGCACUCAUUUCACCAGCAGCUGGGAGCCCUGGCUGCUGAGGGCUCCCCACAGUCUCCUGAGGUGCUGUCUUACCCUGGGCCUGUCCUCUGCCCAUAGCUGGGUACCCAGGCUGCAGGGCCUGUCCCUUGCCCCUUUGUGUCAGCUCCAGUGGGGACUGCAGGGCUUGGCCCCCAUGUUCUGCUCCAGGGUAGGCUGAGACUCCUCCCUGCAGGUGGCUGAAGCCACCACAGACGAAGGGCAGAAAGGGGAUCCUGCACUGUCUCUAGAAGCUUCCUGGGAGACUAACUUUAGAUCUGUGACCUCUGGAAAUGUGAGAUGCAAGUUUGUGGUUGCUCCUGGGACCAGUACAGGGCUUACUGCACUAUUCAGGGGCUGCCUGCACCAUCAGGGUGACAAGGGACAGAAGCGGGUCCGGGAGGAGCUUCUACUCUCUGCCCCCUGACCUUGAACAUCCUGGAGGCAAAUGGGUGACUCCACCCGUAAGGAGACCCACAACCCCCGCUUGCUCUGCUCUGGACUUCUUGGGGCAUCUUCAAAACCCGAGAGAAGUGGGAGGGUCAGAUUUGGAACAGACGGGACAUAGCUAGAAGAGUAGUCAGAACUUCACCAGCCUCCCUGUCCAACUCUGGGCUCCUCCCUGCAGAUGGCCCUGUCCCAGUUGCCUCCCCAUUUUCCAGACACUUUUACCCACCUAUGAAAGAAAGCGGUGCCGUCCACCUAACUCUUUCCACAGGAGCAGCAUGAACAGAGUGUGGCCCAUCCGCCCAGGGGACUACUAGCCACCGCAGGGCUGAGCGCCGAGAGCUGAACAUACAGCAUUGGCCUGGAAUGCCGGCUAGAGCCGCUUGGUCCCUCCCGGCAGGCCUCCAAACAUUUACAAAGGGCUUCAGAUGAUCUCCAGAAGCCUACAGGACAGUGACACCAUUACCCCUGUUGUAGAAAGUAUUUCCAGUGUGAUUUCUAUCAGAGCAAAAUAUCUAUAGCAAGAUUUACCAUGGAACCACGCUGGGAGCAUGUAGAGCAUCACCCUUUCCUGCAACUGCCACCGCCACCUAUCUCCAGAAGGCUUCUGCUCUGUUCAACGGGGACUCCAUGUCCAUCAGUCACCUCCCUGAGCCCCACACCCAGCCUUGGCAACCACCCUUCCGCUUGCUGUCUGCUAAGUGCUGAUUUUGGCACUCAGGAAUCUGGUGUGAGCGGCCCCCAGCAGCACUGUCCCUUUGCGGCAGGUGUCUUUCACUCAGCAUGGUGCCCUCUGGUUUGGGGUACCUGGUAGUGUGUGUGUCAGUGAUUCCUGAGACUGGACAGUAUUCAUGCUACCCCAUUUUACAGGAGGGACCACUGUGGCCAGACAGUUGGGUGUAACGGCCAGAAUGCCAGAACGCACACCAGACACCUACCUGACCUCGGAGCCUCCACUACCCCAUGAUAGAACGCUGACUCUCCCAGGCUUCCCCUGCUUUGCACUCUUCUCUCCACAUCAGCGGCUCCUCUGCUUUGCAAGGCCUGGCCUUUUACUUCCCAUUGGAUGUGACCUUUAGACCAUGGGCAGGUGGGAUGGUGGAACUUGGUGGGUCAGACUCCCCCAGACACAGCCUCUGCACGCUCAAGGCUGCUCACUGACCAGGAUCACUGCCCAGAGUUGUGCAGUUAACAACCUGCACAUUUGUACACCAAUAGCCCUGCUUAAUGGCCCUCAAGUUUCCCAAGUCCAGAGGCUUCUGGACUAUGCUCUGAGAGCUGGGGGGAAAGGCACAGUUUAGAGACAGCUGCAGAGAGAUGAGACGAGUGGCCAAGGGGGCUGGGGAGGCAGGAAGGAGGACCAGUGGGCUCACUGGGCAUGGGCAUCCAUUCACUCUGAAACUACACAGUCGUGGUGACUGCGCACCCUCAUGAAUGUACUAACAACUACUGAACUGCACACGAAGUCAGUUAGAAUGCUAAUUUUUAUGUGUGCUUGACUACAAUCAGAUGGGAGAGCAGGCAUGGUGACACAUGCUUGAAAUCCUAGCACUCUGGGAAGCUAAGUCAGGAAGAUCGCAAGGUAGAGCCCAGCUUGAGUAAUUUAGUGAUUUAGCAAGACUAUCUCAAAACUUAAAAAAAUAAAAAAUAAAAAAGGA